rnacentral:rRNA from 1 species
AUACGGAGGGGGCUAGCGUUGUUCGGAUUUACUGGGCGUAAAGCGCACGUAGGCGGAUUGAUUAGUUAGGGGUGAAAUCCCGAGGCUCAACCUCGGAACUGCCUUUAAUACUGUCAAUCUCGAGACCGGAAGAGGUGAGUGGAACUCCUAGUGUAGAGGUGGAAUUCGUAGAUAUUAGGAAGAACACCAGUGGCGAAGGCGGCUCACUGGUCCGGUACUGACGCUGAGGUGCGAAAGCGUGGGGAGCGAACAGGAUUAGAAACCCUAGUAGUCC